GACUCUGAUCCCUCCCACCUCUGAACUUUAAUUGAAUCAAAGCGGCAAGCCCUGUAGUUCUGGGCAGAGGACAUCAACAGUAAAGAAAGGCGGUAACACCGAAAGUGAAUGAAUGGAAAACCAAUUAGACAGUUCUCAGACCCAGGACUGCAGCAUUACUGUGACGUAUGAGACUUCAAA